GAUAAACGCUGGCGGCGCACAUAAGACAUGCAAGUCGAACGGACUUAACCAUUAGUUUGCUAGUGGAGCGGUUAGUGGCGGACUGGUGAGUAACACGUAAGCAACCUGCCUAUCAGAGGGGAACAACAGUUAGAAAUGACUGCUAAUACCGCAUAUGCCUGAGUACCACAUGGUACAAUAGGGAAAGGAGCAAUCCGCUGAUAGAUGGGCUUGCGUCUGAUUAGCUAGUUGGUGGGGUAAAGGCCUACCAAGGCGACGAUCAGUAGCCGGACUGAGAGGUUGAACGGCCACAUUGGGACUGAGAUACGGCCCAG
rnacentral:rRNA from 1 species